AAAUAAGAAAACGGAUCCUCUGCUUUUGUAACGCACAGACACGCUUCCUCUUCCUUUUUUUCCGUUGUAAAUUGAUAGCAACGAUGGGGUUUUGAAAAUCUAUUUGUGCCUUCUACAAUAAACCUUCGCAUUACAAUUGGAACACAGAAGAUUCACCUCUCUCGAUCUCAAACCAUCACAGAGCCCUAAACUCGAAUGGGUUGGAACUGAGAAGCAGUGCUAGAGAUUCAUCUUCUGAUGUUAUUCCCUCCUGUGCUACCCGAAUGAUAUCUCGCUCGCUGCAAACAUCUAUGUAUGAAUUUCUUUGUUGCAGCAUUUUGGUUCUAUUCUAGGAUACGUAUUUCUUUGAAGGGAUGGAUGGUUUUUACACAGGUUGGUUCAAUUGCUGGUGGUGGCCAAUAGGAUACCAUGAUAGGGAUGUUUGGCUCAAACCAAGUUCCAACAGUUGGUAUAAGCCUAAGAAUGAAGAGAGUAUUUUCCAUAAUUGAGCAGCACUGGAAGGACCAGAACCAGAACACUGGGAUUUCUAACUCCUUUCAUUGGUGAGACAAGCGAAAGGCAUGCAGAAGUCGAAGAACAAAUAGGCACCAAAGUGGCAGAGUGGAGAGAAGAAGGAAAACUGAGAUUGUGUCAGGAGUUCUUUUCAUUGAUGAUGUGAUCAUACCUGACAUAAUGUUUUUCUUUUCUCAAUCGAGCUCUAGAGAAUGUGAUGGGUCUAUUAGUUGUUGUUGGGGUAUGAAAGUAUUUUAGGAGUGAAUGUAUGAUUGUGUAAAGAGAUUUUUAUAAUAGUCUUAGAAGCCAUACUUUGAGAUAUUUUUAUACUUGGGGCAUGACAUUAAUAGAGUAAAGUUUUCAGCCA